rnacentral:rRNA from 1 species
CUACGUCGGCGACCGGCGCACGGGUGCGUAACGCGUAUGCAACCUACCCAUUACAGGGGGAUAACACUGAGAAAUCGGUACUAAUACCCCAUAGCAUCCAGGGAGGCAUCUUCUUGGGUUGAAAACUCCGGUGGUAAUGGAUAGGCAUGCGUUGUAUUAGUUAGUUGGUGGGGUAACGGCUCACCAAGACAACGAUACAUAGGGGGACUGAGAGGUUAACCCCCCCACAUUGGUACUGAGACACGGACCAAACUCCUACGGAAGGCAGCAG